AGAGUUUGAUCCUGGCUCAGAUUGAACGCUGGCGGCAUGCUUUACACAUGCAAGUCGAACGGUAACAGGGAGCUUGCUCCGCUGACGAGUGGCGAACGGGUGAGUAAUGCAUCGGAACGUGCCUAUUUGUGGGGGAUAACGUAGCGAAAGUUACGCUAAUACCGCAUACGCCCUGAGGGGGAAAGCGGGGGAUUCGUAAGAACCUCGCGCAAUUAGAGCGGCCGAUGUCGGAUUAGCUAGUUGGUGGGGUAAAGGCUCACCAAGGCGACGAUCCGUAGCGGGUCUGAGAGGAUGAUCCGCCACACUGGGACUGAGACACGGCCCAGACUCCUACGGGAGGCAGCAGUGGGGAAUUUUGGACAAUGGGCGAAAGCCUGAUCCGGCCAUGCCGCGUGAGUGAAGAAGGCCUUCGGG
rnacentral:rRNA from 1 species